rnacentral:lncRNA from 1 species
GGGAAAGGCAAUAGGGUGUCUGAGGUGUGACUGAGUUAAGGACUACCAAUUUUCCCCUUGGCAGAUAGAUUUCAAAGGUUCACAGGUCUUUUUCUCUGGCUAUGCACACCUGUGCCCUUUUUUUUCUUUCAUCCUUCCCACAGUAAGAACAGAUUAACCUCAGAUUUGAGCUCCUUAUUCCAGGAGGUGAAAUACAAUUUUGCCUGUACUGCUGAGAAGUCCUGAGGCAGGGGUUCCUUUGGAGGCAUUUCUUAGGUAUUAAUGAUGGAGUUUGCAGAAGAUGUUGCAAUUGGAGAGGAAUGGAAUCAAGCUCUGUGAAGUCCUGUUCUUUUCUGUUAAGACCUGAAAAAAACAAUUCUCAAACUGUUUUACCAGUCAUUUCAAGCACUUCAGUCAAUAGGGACUGGGACUCUGCAGUCCUAACAGAACUAAACCCAGAGACGAUGCCCUUGCUUUUAUCCUUAACUUCUAAGAGGUCUGCCUAAAGUAAUCUGCAAGCUUCUGGAGUGUUGAAUUCAAGUUGUAAGUAACUGACACUAUACACACAAUUAUGGGAACUACAGAAAGCACAUGUAAUAUUCACAUAUUCCCCAUAUACCUGUUAAAACACUUCCUCUAGUCAAGAUCAGCAUGCUCAUAAAUUUAAGAAAAGGCUUUUUUUUAACCAUAGAGGAACUAGUGUGUCCAGUGGUGCUUUUAUACUCUACUUCCAUGACUUGUCAGCCCUGUCUGGGUUGAUUUGCAAAGAGCAGCUCAUGAGCUAGGGACCUAUUUUCUACUGAAUGAGGCAUACUAAAUAAAAUAAAUACUGAGCCUCUUUGUUGUGAACUC